rnacentral:rRNA from 1 species
UGGGGAAUAUUGGACAAUGGGCGCAAGCCUGAUCCAGCCAUGCCGCGUGAGUGAUGACGGCCUUAGGGUUGUAAAGCUCUUUCGCGCACGACGAUAAUGACGGUAGUGCGAGAAGAAGCCCCGGCUAACUUCGUGCCAGCAGCCGCGGUAAUACGAAGGGGGCUAGCGUUGUUCGGAUUAACUGGGCGUAAAGGGUGCGUAGGCGGGUUUUUAAGUCAGGGGUGAAAUCCCAAGGCUCAACCUUGGAACUGCCUUUGAUACUGGAAAUCUUGAGUCCGGGAGAGGUGAGUGGAACUGCGAGUGUAGAGGUGAAAUUCGUAGAUAUUCGCAAGAACACCAGUGGCGAAGGCGGCUCACUGGCCCGGUACUGACGCUGAGGCACGAAAGCGUGGGGAGCAAACA